CGAGCUAGCUAGGUAAAUGUGGAGGAUGUUGAAGCUCAGAAUCAGCUUGGUCACAGGGUGCUGUCCAUUCCAGCGCAAAGAGUAGACCGUGUAGUGUCCUUUUGUGCAGCUAAAUCUCAAAACAAUGGCCCCUAAACCCCACAACAUUAUUUAGUCACCUUCGUAUUCUCUAACCCUUAUGAUAUCAUAGUCUACCUUCGUACAACCCUCGUUAAAAAUACUCAUAAGCGAAGUAAAAAAAUUCCUUAAAAAUGCGAACAAUCAAACAAGCGAGGGUUGUUACCAGAAAACUCAUCUCUAUUGCUGAAGUGCGCUGCUGUUCAGAGGAUGGAAACGAGGAACGUCGAUGACGACGAAGAAGCUCCAAAAGGCUCGCAGUCAUGGCUGCGCGAUUUGUGGAGCCAGAAAAAUACUACUACCCAGACUCCGCUUGCGAGAACAAUGU
rnacentral:lncRNA from 1 species